GAUGAAGAACGCAGCGAAAUGCGAUAAGUAAUGUGAAUUGCAGAAUUCAGUGAAUCAUCGAAUCUUUGAACGCACAUUGCGCCCCCUGGUAUUCCGGGGGGCAUGCCUGUUCGAGCGUCAUUUCACCACUCAAGCCUCGCUUGGUAUUGGGCAACGCGGUCCGCCGCGUGCCUCAAAUCGUCCGGCUGGGUCUUCUGUCCCCUAAGCGUUGUGGAAACUAUUCGCUAAAGGGUGUUCGGGAGGCUACGCCGUAAAACAACCCCAUUUCUAAGGUUGACCUCGGAUCAGGUAGGGAUACCCGCUGAACUUAAGCAUAUCAAUAAGCGGAAGA
rnacentral:misc_RNA from 1 species